rnacentral:rRNA from 1 species
CAGCCGCCGCGGUAAUGCGUAGGUGGCAAGCGUUGUCCGGAAUUAUUGGGCGUAAAGGGCUCGCAGGCGGUUUCUUAAGUCUGAUGUGAAAGCCCCCGGCUCAACCGGGGAGGGUCAUUGGAAACUGGGAAACUUGAGUGCAGAAGAGGAGAGUGGAAUUCCACGUGUAGCGGUGAAAUGCGUAGAGAUGUGGAGGAACACCAGUGGCGAAGGCGACUCUCUGGUCUGUAACUGACGCUGAGGAGCGAAAGCGUGGGGAGCGAACAGGAUUAGAUACCCGGGUAGUCCCUGUCUCUUAUAC